GCGGUAAUCAAUUUGCACAAGCACCAGCACCAGAUGUUUGUUUUAUCCAGGGAUAUUGCGUUUCCAGAGAAUAAAUAUUAGGGUGUCUGUUCAUUAUUAAAUGACACUGUGGAUGUUUCUCUCUUUCCGUUUCAGAGACGAUCCCAUGAUCUGUGACAUCUGCAUGGCUUCUAAUCCCCUUCAGAGAAAAUGGACAUUCGGAAGAAUUGCAUUAUAUUGUAUUGCAUACUGAAAAGAAGAAGGAGGGUCAAGACUCCAUGUACACAGACGUGGAUGAGAGAAGCCAGACUCCCGUGAGAGCAGAGAUGCUGCAUGAAAAGCACAUGAGCUCAUCCCUGGCCAAAAUAAAAGAAAAAGAACAGUCCCCUCUGCAAGAAGCUUUAACGCAACUGACCCGGCAGCUUCAGA